rnacentral:rRNA from 1 species
GACGAACGCUGGCGGCGUGCUUAACACAUGCAAGUCGAGCGGUAAGGCCCUUUCGGGGGUACACGAGCGGCGAACGGGUGAGUAACACGUGGGUGACCUGCCCUCAGCUCUGGGAUAAGCCUGGGAAACCGGGUCUAAUACCGGAUAUGACUCCAUGACGCAUGUUGUGGGGUGGAAAGCCUUGUGCGGCUGAGGAUGGGCCCGCGGCCUAUCAGCUUGUUGGUGGGGUGAUGGCCUACCAAGGCGACGACGGGUAGCCGGCCUGAGAGGGCGACCGGCCACACUGGGACUGAGACACGGCCCAGACUCCUACGGGAGGCUGCAGUGGGGAAUCUUGCGCAAUGGGCGAAAGCCUGACGCAGCGACGCCGCGUGAGGGAUGACGGCCU